AGCAACAACUCUCUGAACAGAAAAGCGACCACUUUCUGGAAGGAAUGACAUGGCAACUCUUUUGAGUGCUUGGCUGGCAGCCUCCACACAUUCAUAGUAACCAGACCCUGGAGAACCAGCAUGUGAGGAGAGAGACCAGUGGUAAAUGGUUAUGCCUACCUUUGAGCCAUUCACACAUUUUUCUUACAUGCCAAAAUCUUUAGAGUGAGGAGCAAUUGACUGAGAUCGACUAGGUAAUCAAGAUUUUAAGUGAUAUUGGAAUUGGAUGAAAUUUCUACCACUGCUCCAAUGAACUACUGAUUUUGUCAUUGUUACCAGUUCUCUUCUAUGGGAAUAAUCAGAACAGUGCACUCCAGAGACAUGAAAUGAAGGAAAGUUUUGGGAAGAAUUCUGCAUCCUAUCCUCAAGGGCCAGUGGGAAUUUUCAUGCUGGAUUUUUGACUUCUCUCUUUGAAUAAUAACAGAAACAUCCUAAUAAAGUAAUAUGAGUUCACUUGAUAUGAAGGUUGGAAGUAAGAUCACAGUUGCAUGGAAUUCUUGCCACUUCACCAAAGAAUAGCUGAUUUUGUCACUUUUACCAACUCCCUUACCUGAGAAGAAACAAUGAUGCACUCUCAAGGUAAUGAUGGAUCCUAGAAAGGAAGAGAAACUCUCUAUGCCUUUGCCUUUCUUGAAUGCCAUCUCUAGAGAGUGAAAUGACAAAUUAAUUUUAAGUCGGUGGUUCUCCAUUGCUACUUGUGGUCUUCUGGACCCUUGCAGAAGAUUACUUCUUGGGAACUCUUGGGAGUGAAUGAUAUCAGUAAAUCUCUGAAACAAGACUCUUCAGACAAGAAGGCUAUGGUCCAAGGGCCAUGCUUUGAAGGUGGUGACCACAAAUGUGAGGUGGAUUUGUUACUGAGGGUGCCAUUACUUCUACCACCAGCUUCACCAAAACAAUGACACACUCUUCUUUAUGCUUGGCGAUUCCUCUCUUUCCUGUGUUGCAGUGGACACCUCCCGCAGAUAAGAAAUGCUUAACUGAGAAAUGCUCAUGUUGGGAUAUCAUCGAUGAGACUUUAAUUUGGGCAUGGUGACUGUUUCCCUUGCUGCCACUUGACUCAAUCCCAGGAGCCUCAGUAGAGGAUAUAUUAUUGCACAAGAAACUCAAAAUGGUGGAAUUGCUCAGUGCUCCCAUAAAUAUACAUUUAUAAUUUCCAUUUGCCAUAUGGUAAAAAUUUUAAGUAGGAUAUAUUAAAAAGAAA